rnacentral:misc_RNA from 1 species
ACUCCAACGUGAUGCUCUUGUACCCUCUCUUGCUUGCUCAUCUUUCGUCCCUCGCUCACCUCUACUCCCUCUCUCUUUCUGCGGGGUCGUGAGCCGUACCAUGGGCGAAGACAACACGAAAACGAAUACACCAUUUUCAAGCGGACGUGACACAAGGAAAGGCAUGACCGUCAUCACCUGUGCUUACGCGCUCGGCAGCGACCCGGAUCUUGAAAAGCGCGUGAAAGAGGGCACCGUCGUCAUUGGACGUGUCAACGUGUUUCGCAACUACAACACCAAUCUGUCGUUUGUGCGCAGCAGUCGGCUUCCGUGCGAUGUGGUGCUGAACUCUGCCGAGCUGCGCGGACCUGCGCUGCACUCUGAUGUGGUGGCAGUGGCGCUCCUGCCAUUGGCUCAGUGGCAACCCGCGCCGAAUGCAGCCAGCGCAGUGCCUGCCAGCAGCGAUAGCAACACCGAUGACGAGGAGACCGAAAAUGGUCCGCGGGUGAUGCCGUCUACGCUGCCGGACGGCCGCCACAUUGCGCAGCUGAUUGCGCCCGAGACAACGGAAGAGCUCAUCCAGAACGCAUCUGCCGAGGUCUCCCUCGCCGCGCAGAUGGGCGCCCCUUUUUCGUACGAGUGGCCACCAGAGAAGCGUCCUCUGGGCCGUGUCAUUCGAAUUCUGAAGCGCUGCCUGCCACGCCUUCACGUGGCCCGCAUUGCUGACAACCAGGUGCACCCUGGCGAGGGAUUGCAGGAGAAGUACUACUACCGCUUCCGUCCCUUCAAUCAGCUGUACCCUCAGCUGACUGUGCAGGGGUGCGACAUCAUGGCUGCUUAUCAUGCAAACAUCAGCACGUCGCUCUUUUCCUUGGCACUGGAGCACGGGGAGAACGGCGAAAUCUUAACGACUCCGCGAGUGCCGAACGCCCUCUUGUGCAAAGUCCACAGCUUCCUCGGUGACGCCUCGACCAUGGCCGUGGCCAGCCACGCCAUCUGCACAAGCUGCAAUGUGUCGAACGAACCCUUUUCGGAGGAGGCCGAGGCGUGCGUGCUCAAGGAUUUCACGAUCCCCUCGCCAGCGGAACUGGCCGACAUGGGGCGGCGCGAUUUACGCGACUCGGAGUUCGUCUUGACGAUUGACCCCGCCACGGCGCGCGACCUGGACGACGCGCUCAGCAUUAAGCCGCGCAAAGAUGGCGGCUAUCACGUCGGCGUGCACAUCGCGGAUGUGUCCCACUUUGUGUUGCCGAGGACGGCUCUCGACGAGGAGGCGCAACGGCGCAGUAACUCGACCUACCUGGUGGACCGCGUGAUUCCCAUGCUGCCGUCCCGGCUGAGCGAGGAGUACUGUAGCUUGAACCCCGGCGAAGACAAGUUUGCCUUCUCUGGACUGUUCGAGUUUGACCGGGACGGGCAUCUCAUUUCCGAGGCAGCGACGGGGGAGAAGUGCGAGUGGUUCGGCCAGAGUGUCAUCCGCAGUCGGUGCCGAUUGGCGUACGAGCAGGCGCAGCAGAUUCUCGACGGCGACGACACGGUGGUGCUCGACGUGGCGCAAGCGGCGUCGGACCUCGGCAUCGGCGAGGAGGCUGCCCGCAAGAAGGUGAAGCAGAGUGUCACGAACCUCUUCGCGCUCGCGAGCAAACUUCGCCAGCAAUCACUGCGGGACGGGCGGGUGGUUAUCGGCAACACCCGUCUCGCGUUUAGAUUUGACAGGAAUGAGGUGAACUCGCCUCCCACCUCCUUUUUCGUGCAGGAGCAGAUUCAGGCCAACUGGUUGGUGGAGGAGUUUAUGUUGUUAGCGAAUCAACGCGUGGCACAGAAAAUCGUGCAGUACAUUCCGUACGGGGCUCUGCUGCGUCGGCACAAACCGCCGCAACCGCAGAAGAUGAGACGACUACGCACGGCCCUGUCGCACCGCGGUCUGCCUACGGGCGGCAGCUCUGGACAGGAGCUGCAGCGGAUGAUCGACACCAUCAAGAAGGACCACCGCGGAGACUUCCACACCGUGUGCGAGUUGCUCAAGUACUCCUUGAUGGCGGCCGAAUACAUUGCCAACGACCCGACGGAGAAGGACAUCCGCUCCCACUUUGCCGUCGCGGCGCCGUGGUACACCCACUUUACGUCACCGAUUCGGCGUUACUGCGACUUGAUGGUGCAUCGUCAGCUGCGCGUCGCCCUGGAGCUGGAGCGGUGCAUGGAGGAAGCCCAGAUGGAGAUGCCGAACGCGCCGCACCCGGCACUGGAGACGAGGCCCGUGGAUUGCAUCUUCGACCCAACGCGUGCCGUGGAUGUCCACAAACUGAAGACGCGAGAACUCUUCUACCCUCUCUCAGCACUGGAGCACAUUGUCACCCACGCCAACGAGUGCCGCUUGAACUCCCGCUCCGCCGGCGACAUGUCGUUGGAGUACUCUCUGUGCCUGUACCUGCUUGCACUGCAGAAGAGGGCCAAGGAGGACCCGACUUUGCCACAGCAGCUCUACACCACCGUCACCAUUGUGAAGAUCACAGAGGGCAGCUUCUUGCUCUACAGCGCGGAGCUGGCCUCUGUGGUGGAGAUCGGCUUCAACGAUACCCACCAGCGGUUCAGGUAUCAAGGACUACUUGUGACGGGCGACCUGGACGCAAAGUCAGCCGCGCAGGAGACUCGGGCGGACACACGGGCAGCAGCGGAACGGGCGAGCGACGCCAAGGCGAAGGCGCAUGCACGCAAGAAGGGGGGCAAGAGCGACAUGCCACGCCGCGGCGCCGCAGAUGGCGGACAGGGGCAGCAUCACUUUUCGGGCCGAGUGAACACGGUGGCGGCUCAGUUUUCGUGGGGGUCACACCCCGAGACGGGCGAGGAGGUGACGGAGGUGUUUGACCUGUUUACGGAGUUUGUCGCGCUGCUGGAGGUGACAGCGAAGCAGGGGCGACUGUCAUUGGGCAUGCAGCUGUUGCAGCCGUGGGAGCGGGAGGCGGCCCGCCGCGUCUGCCCCAAAGUGCCCACCUCGCUGGUCGAGGAGCAAUAGAGGCCGCUCUGCCGUGUAGAAAUUGUGUGGUGUUUUACGCUGUUUUGAGCGUGGCCGCUCAGCGGCAGCAGUGUCACGCAGUAGGUCACGCUCUGCGGGGUUUUGAAUGAGCGUGAAAGAAGUGACGGCGCACAGGGA